GUGACGGGCCCGCACAAGCAGCGGAGCGUGUGGUUAAUUCGAUGUUACACGAAGAACUUACCAGGGUUUGACAUGCAAGUGGUAGGAAGCCGAAAGGUGACCGACCUUCGGGAGCUUGCACAGGUGCUGCAUGGCUGUCGUCAGCUCGUGUCGUGAGAUGUUCGGUUAAGUCCGCUAACGAGCGCAACCCUCGCUGUGUGUUAUAUGUGUCACACGGGACUGCCGGUCUUAAGCCGGAGGAAGGUGGGGAUGAUGUCAAGUCAGCAUGGCCUUUAUAUCCUGGGCUACACACACGUUACAAUGGCAGAUACAAUAGGUUGCGAAACCGCGAGGUGGAGCCAAUCCUCAAAGUCUGUCUCAGUUCAGAUUGUAGGCUGCAACUCGCCUGCAUGAAGUUGGAGUUGCUAGUAAACGCAGGUCAGCUAUACUGCGUUGAAUACGUUCCCGGGGUUU
rnacentral:rRNA from 1 species